rnacentral:lncRNA from 1 species
CACAAGUCCGUCUAAUGACAGUAUCAGCUACAGCAAAAUAAAAGCUUAAAAUCAAUUAUUUAUAUAUGAUAAAAAUUUAAUAUAAAUUAAAUAUAAAAAAAAUUAGAAUAUAUAAAAUCAAUCUAUCAUAGCAGGAGAUGAUGUGCCUGCCUCAGUAGACAGUUGUGGAGAUGAGGUACCGACAUCUCCAUGUGGGUCCCUCCUCUC